UGACCGUGGGGCGACGUGAGUGGGUUGGGCCUUUCCGUUAUGGAUUGACCAGGCCCAGGAAAGUCCCCGGGCUGUUUCUGCAGAGAUGCAGGCCCGGAAACGGGUACACUUCACUGUCUGGUGCCCUAUCUCGUUGCGAGAUGGGCUGAGACGAGUGUCGAGCCCAUGGGCCCUAGCUGGAAGUGCGUUGGCUGAUUAACAGUUAUUCACGUGGUCCGUCUGGACUAACUGAACGGGGCUUACGAUCUUACGGUC
rnacentral:RNase_MRP_RNA from 2 species